rnacentral:rRNA from 1 species
GACGAACGCUGGCGGCGCGCCUAACACAUGCAAGUCGAACGAGCGAGAGAGAGCUUACUUUCUCGAGCGAGUGGCGAACGGGUGAGUAACGCGUGAGGAACCUGCCUCAAAGAGGGGGACAACAGUUGGAAACGACUGCUAAUACCGCAUAAGCCCACGGCUCGGCAUCGAGCAGAGGGAAAAGGAGCAAUCCGCUUUGAGAUGGCCUCGCGUCCGAUUAGCUAGUUGGUGAGGUAACGGCCCACCAAGGCGACGAUCGGUAGCCGGACUGAGAGGUUGAACGGCCACAUUGGGACUGAGACACGGCCCAGACUCCUACGGGAGGCAGCAGUGGGGAAUAUUGCACAAUGGGGGAAACCCUGAUGCAGCGACGCCGCGUGGAGGAAGAAGGUCUUCGGAUUGUAAACUCCUGUUGUUGAGGAAGAUAAUGACGGUACUCAACAAGGAAGUGACGGCUAACUACGUGCCAGCAGCCGCGGUAAAACGUAGGUCACAAGCGUUGUCCGGAAUUACUGGGUGUAAAGGGAGCGCAGGCGGGAAGACAAGUUGGAAGUGAAAUCCAUGGGCUCAACCCAUGAACUGCUUUCAAAACUGUUUUUCUUGAGUAGUGCAGAGGUAGGCGGAAUUCCCGGUGUAGCGGUGGAAUGCGUAGAUAUCGGGAGGAACACCAGUGGCGAAGGCGGCCUACUGGGCACCAACUGACGCUGAGGCUCGAAAGUGUGGGUAGCAAACAGGAUUAGAUACCCUGGUAGUCCACACUGUAAACGAUGAUUACUAGGUGUUGGAGGAUUGACCCCUUCAGUGCCGCAGUUAACACAAUAAGUAAUCCACCUGGGGAGUACGACCGCAAGGUUGAAACUCAAAGGAAUUGACGGGGGCCCGCACAAGCAGUGGAGUAUGUGGUUUAAUUCGACGCAACGCGAAGAACCUUACCAAGUCUUGACAUCCUGCGACGCACAUAGAAAUAUGUGUUUCCUUCGGGACGCAGAGACAGGUGGUGCAUGGUUGUCGUCAGCUCGUGUCGUGAGAUGUUGGGUUAAGUCCCGCAACGAGCGCAACCCUUAUGGUCAGUUACUACGCAAGAGGACUCUGGCCAGACUGCCGUUGACAAAACGGAGGAAGGUGGGGAUGACGUCAAAUCAUCAUGCCCUUUAUGACUUGGGCUACACACGUACUACAAUGGCGUUAAACAAAGAGAAGCAAGACCGCGAGGUGGAGCAAAACUCAGAAACAACGUCCCAGUUCGGACUGCAGGCUGCAACUCGCCUGCACGAAGUCGGAAUUGCUAGUAAUCGCAGAUCAGCAUGCUGCGGUGAAUACGUUCCCGGGCCU